rnacentral:rRNA from 1 species
GGUCUGCUCCUCCUUCCUGCUCGUGCGACCCGGAGCCCCUCCUCCCUGGUUCGUCAGUCCACCUCCGCCUCCCAGCCAUACAGGCCACUCAACCAAAACGAGGUCAGAUUCUCAAUCUCCACUCGGAAAUCAGUACCGUGGUCAUCUCCGUCGCCGCCGCCUGCCGCCGCCAUCGCCAUGGCUUUCGCUCUACGGGCCCUUCACCACCGCCUCCCCCGCUCUCUCCACCACUCCAAUCCCCUCUCCACCUCCGCCUCAUCCCACGACCUCCGCGAGCUCCUCCGCAUCCAACGCAUCCUCGGUGACCCCGCAGCAACCACCCAACCCCCACAAACGCAACAACGCCCACUAGCCUCCAGCACCACGGACCUGCACCGACUGCUCCACCGCGCGGCCGGCCUCAGCACCGCCGAGGCCACGUCCCUGCUCCACCGCGUCCCUAACACCCACCGCCUGGGCCACCUUCUCCAAGAACUUCGUGGCCUGCGCCUCCCGGCGGACGAGAUCAAGAACGCCCUCGGGUCCGACCCCGACGGGCUCCUCUCCAUGGAGCCGGGCGAGCCGUCCCGCCUCAUCGAGCUCCUGGACGAGCUCCGCUGCCGGGCGCCCAUCAAGGACCAGGUCCUCUCUCACGGCGUGCUCAGCGCCGCAAUCGCCACGAGGCGGCGGGUAGAGCUCCUGCACGAGCGCGGGCUGAGCCGGCGGGACGCGCUGAGGGUGAUCUCCGUUGAGCCCAGGGCAAUUUUAUAUAGCCUGGAGGAUGUGGAGAGGAAGGUGGAGUUCUUGGUGGGCAGGAUGGGGUUUGAGAUCGGUUGGCUGGUGGAGUACCCGGAGUUCUUGGGGAUAAAUCUCGACAGGUCGAUCGUCCCGCGGCACAAUGUGGUGGAGUAUUUGGCGUCGGUGGGUGGGCUUGGGGACCCCAUUGAGAUGAGGCAUUAUGUGAGAUUCAGCCGCCUCAAGUUCUACAAUCUGUUCGUGAAGCCAUACCUGGAGUGCGAGAGGAUUUUCGGGGGCCUAGUCAGGGAGAGAAAGGAUGAGGUGAGGCGCCAGCAUCCGGUGGGGUUGUGGAAGCUGUUUAAGCCGGCGAAGUAUGAGAGCACUGAGGAGAAUGUGAAGGACAUGAAGUUGGUUGUUGAAUCACUUCAUUAGCUCUGUUCAGAACACCAACUGGUACCGAUUUUGAAUGGGGCUGCUCAUGAUUCUGGGGAUAUUUGUGGUGGUAACAAUGUGGUUCGUAUUGUGAAACCGUAUGUUUGAAUUGCAGUGCACUGCAUUCUGCCAGCAAAAUCAAAAUGUCAUCUGUGCUGAUCAAACAUGGAACCGAUUGGAAUCUGCAAGAUUAAGUAAAUCGAGUCCUAGGCUCCUAGCUUAAGAUGAGGUCAAUUACAAUGACCCCAUCAUGAGAGCUGGUCUCAUCAGGAAGCAAACAAGAUAAUAGUUUGAUGAAAUCUGGCAACUUAUGGAAGGCUCAUCUCAAGUUACCAACAAAUAGGUAAGAGAGGCAGUCACUCUUUCUAUAUUUUGAGUAAUCAAUGAUCAUCGGGGGAUAAUACUCGAUAGGUUGCUAAAAUGAUUAUUAAUGUUGGAAGACUUGUGAACUUGGUGGUCUUCUUGGAGAAAGGUUAUUGUGAUACAAAUUAUAUAGGCGGCUAAUUUUUCACCUGAAGUUUUCGCAAAAUCAAACUGAAUGAAUAAGCAGAUGACAUAAUGUGUGCUGUUUUGCUUGGAAUUUGUGUACGAAGAUGGCAGAUGAUAGCAAAAAGUGAUGGAUCUGGAAGAAGAAAACAGCAGCGAGGCUAAUACACAGUUUUAAUAUUGUCAUUAGAAGUGAGGAAAAAAUCAUAGGUACUCAGGUAGUAUGAUUUUGUUGCUGGUUCUUGCAUGAUCUGUUUAGCACAGAGGAUGUAGGAUUUGUAAAAUGGUCAUGCUUCCUAACUUGUAUCUGUUGGUCAGUAAUACUGUGUAACAGGGUUGACAUUCUCUCCACCUAAUGUGCUAUGGAUCCUAACUCUUUCUCUAUUAGAUUAUUUAUUUCAUAGGAAAUGCCAAGCUGAUUGUUGCCAUUUCCCGUACAUAUAAAUACAGGAGAUAUGACUCUUGGUUAUUUUGAAUCACAGAAGCUGGCCUCUGGUUCUAUCUGUCGUAGUGCUCAUUGUCCUCAAUGCACAAUAUCAAUAAUAGUUUACUCAUUUAAUAUUUUUUUGGUCC